UAGACAAUGGUUCGGUCAGAAGAGCAAGUGACUCUUAAUCCCAAGGUUGUGGGUUCAAGUCCCACAUUGGAUUAA